rnacentral:rRNA from 1 species
AUUGAACGCUGGCGGAAUGCUUUACACAUGCAAGUCGAACGGCAGCACGGGGCAACCUGGUGGCGAGUGGCGAACGGGUGAGUAAUACAUCGGAACGUGCCCAAUCGUGGGGGAUAACGUAGCGAAAGUUACGCUAAUACCGCAUACGAUCUACGGAUGAAAGCGGGGGAUCGCAAGACCUCGCGCGAAUGGAGCGGCCGAUGUCAGAUUAGGUAGUUGGUGGGGUAAAGGCUCACCAAGCCGACGAUCUGUAGCUGGUCUGAGAGGACGACCAGCCACACUGGGACUGAGACACGGCCCAGACUCCUACGGGAGGCAGCAGUGGGGAAUUUUGGGACAAUGGGCGCAAGCCUGAUCCAGCCAUUCCGCGUGCAGGAUGAAGGCCUUC